UGAAGAGAUGGAAUGAGUUCUCAAGAAAUGGUGGUCUGACAAUGUUAUUGGCAAUGGUACUCAUCUGUUGUUGAAUAUGUGGUGUUAGAGCUCAAUUCUGAAAUAUGAGCUUCCUUGCUUGCUGCAGAUUACAAUGAUAAGAAAGCCCAAGUAGCUGAACUUCUUGGACGAGAUGACGCCAUAUUAGGAUAUCCUUUGGGUAACCUAUCUUAGACAAGAAAUGGGACCAUAUUAUUGAUGAAUAUUGCGAUGAUACUUUAAACAAGUUUUGGAAAAGAGCUUUUUGAGAGGUUAUCCGCUAAGCCACACUGUGAUUGUUCAAUUGAUAUCUGUGAUUCUAGGCCCACGUGUGCAUCCAUAAGCUGAAGCACCUAAUGUCUUCGUGAGGUAUGCAUGUCAGAGUGCUAUGCUAAUGGGACACAACUUGAGAAAGAGAAGAUUUUUUUGAGAGGUUAUCCGCUAAGCCACACUGUGAUUGUUCAAUUGAUAUCUGUGAUUCUAGGCCCACGUGUGCAUCCAUAAGCUGAAGCACCUAAUGUCUUCGUGAGGUAUGCAUGUUAGAGUGCUAUGCUAAUGGGACACAACUUGAGAAAGAGAAGACAGAUGGGUAGUCAAUCCGUGUUGUAGUAUAUGAACCACAGUUGGUGAGGAUGUGGAUCAUACACAGCUUUGCAGUUCCCCGUAUCCUUCGUGUACUCUAUGUCUGAAAUGGCAUGGGUGCUACCUAGAAAUGUUUCAGAACACUGUCCACUUGGAGUGUGAACAAGUGGACGCUAAAGAAAUGGACUUGUAUAAUAUUGCUUCUCUGUAAAGUUUUUGGAUGAUUUAGAAAGAAA
rnacentral:lncRNA from 1 species